AGGGACAGGGCUGGUUUGGAGGGCUGGAGUAGAUGCAGCCAGGAGGAAUUUCCUUUGGAGGUGGGAGGCCUCUCCAAAAGCACGCCGGCCAAAGGCCCCUGGGGCACCGUGGGACAUGGGAAGUUUCUUUGCUGUGCUCAGAGAGGGGACAUGGCAGGCCUGGGGCCAGGUGGGCUCAAUCUGCCGGAUCCUGUGGCCCCCGAGGUUGGAUUGGGCUGGGGUCUCAGGCAGAGCUGUUUCUGCACCGAAGCAGGGACCCAGGCCAGUGACUGAGUGAGCUUGCGUGACUCUGUGCCUUCUGGGUCCUGCUGGAACCCCUCUGACUCUCAGACCCUCUUCUGGGAACCGGAAGUCUCUGUCCUACCUUCUGCUGAGGGUCACAGGAGAUAGCACUUUGCAGUGUCCCCUGCCCACACAGGAGAGUUUCUCUGUACCCAUAGGCAGGAGGACCCACCCCCACACACACACACACACGCACACACACAGUACAUUCAUUCAUUAACCACAUGGUGAGUAUUCUUUGCAUCUCAGAGAUGGGGACGCAGAAGUGACCCCACUACACCCAAGGCUGCGGGAGGCUGGGUGGAGCGGAUACAUUUUGUAAACUGGAUUCCCUUAUUCAACAAAGUGCUUAGUGAAUCAGUUGACAGCAAUGCCAGGGUCCUCUGAGGACAGGGCCUUCCUGGAGGUCACUUGAGCCACUUGCCCCAAGGUGGUUUUCAGGGGAGUGUGCCCAGCGCUCGCUGCCUGUCUGCAGCUGGGCAGAGCAGCCCCUCUUCCGCGUCCAGCUCCACCUGGCUGCCCUGCCACGGCCCCAGCGGGCAACCCCCUUGUCCUUGACGCCCCUUACUGCCUGCUGCAGCUGGGUAAGUGUAGACUGCAGUGUGAGUAAUCAGCGGCCCACACUCCCAGGGUGUUGGCAGUGUUUAAAAGUUGUCUGUUAACCAAAAUGUGUUGCUGAGGUUGGACUUUUGGACAACCGCAAGGUGCUGUGAAGCUCCCAGUCAGGCCUGGGAGGGUGGGGUCUGUGGGGCUGGAAUUGGAUCUGAGUAGGCGGGUUUGGGGUUUCCAUGGGUUUGUUUGUGAGCCGCGUGGAGCCUACAGCACUGAGGAAGCCCUGCUGAGCCUCCCCUGCCAGUCCUGCCCUGUUCCUAGGCUGUGUGGCCCUGCCCUGGGCCCCAGAACCCAAGAUCCCUCCAGGGGUGCUGGAGCCCCAGCUGGCCUCAGGGAGAACAGCUGCAGAUGGCCUCCCACCCCCACCCCCCACCAACAGAGGAGUGCCGGAUCACACCCUGUCACGCCAGGAUUUUAUUUUCAAUCAGAGCGCCUACAGAGAACUAAGCCUACCGUAACCAGUGUGAGCAGACAGGGAUUUACUAUGGGGGGUGACCUCCCUCCAAUAGGAGCUUGACAGUAGCUUUUUCGAUCCGUAGGAAGAUGCCAAGAGCGGAGCUGAGAGUGCAGCACAAGGACCUCUGAGAAGUCUUGUCUUCCUCCAAGCAGUGAGAAAAGUGGCGGGAAGAAAUAGAAAAUCUGAUCCUAAAAUUCAUGUGGAAUUGCAAGAGGCCUCAGAGAGCCAAAACUACCUAAUGAAAGAACUAAGAUGGAAGACUUACAUGUCCCGAUUUCAAAACUUACUACAAAGCUAUAGUAAUCAAGGCAGUAUGGUACUGGCUUAAGGCCAGGUAUAGAGACAAUAGAACAGAAUUGAAAGUCCAGAAAUAAACCCUUACUUUUAUGGUGAACUGGUUUCAACAAGGGUGACAAAACCACUCACUGGAGGAGAGAUCAGCUCUUCAGCAAAUGGUACCGAGACAACUGGACUUCCACUUACAACACAAGGUAUUUGGACUCCUACCUCACACCAUACACAAAAAAUUAACCAUGCACAAAAUUGAUCACUGACCUAAAAGUAAAAUCCAUGAGUUUCGGGCUCACAGGGGUAGACAGACAGGGCCGAGGGGCUGGUCUCCCAGUGAAGGUGCUGGAGGUUCCUCAGUGUCCUUCCCUGACAGCUGAGCCUGGAGCCCACUCCUCGGGAUGAUGGCGCCCCUCCUCUCACACUCUGGCUCAGAAGCCAGCACUGAAAUCCACCAGGAAGGCCAAGGGACAGGAGAGAGC